GAGGCGAACCGGGGGAACUGAAACAUCUAAGUACCCCGAGGAAAAGAAAUCAACCGAGAUUCCCCCAGUAGCGGCGAGCGAACGGGGAGGAGCCCAGAGCCUGAAUCAGUGUGUGUGUUAGUGGAAGCGUCUGGAAAGGCGCGCGAUACAGGGUGACAGCCCCGUACACAAAAACGCACAUACUGUGAGCUCGAUGAGUAGGGCGGGACACGUGGUAUCCUGUCUGAAUAUGGGGGGACCAUCCUCCAAGGCUAAAUACUCCUGACUGACCGAUAGUGAACCAGUACCGUGAGGGAAAGGCGAAAAGAACCCCGGCGAGGGGAGUGAAAAAGAACCUGAAACCGUGUAC
rnacentral:rRNA from 1 species